rnacentral:rRNA from 1 species
AUUGAACGCUGGCGGCAGGCCUAACACAUGCAAGUCGAACGAGUGGCGGACGGGUGAGUAAUGUCUGGGAAACUGCCUGAUGGAGGGGGAUAACUACUGGAAAGGGUAGCUAAUACCGCAUACCAUCGGAUGUGCCCAGAUGGGAUUAGCUUGUAGGUGGGGUAAAGUCUCACCUAGGAGACGAUACCUAGCUGGGCUGAGAGGAUGACCAGCCACACUGGAACUGAGACACGUUCCAGACGCCUACGGGAGGCAGCAGUGGGACAUAUUGCAGAAUGGGCGCAAGCCUGAUGCAGCCAUGCCGCGUGUAUGGAGGAGGCCUUCGGGUUGUAAAGUACUUUCAGCGGGAAGGCGUUACCCGCAGAAGAAGCACCGGCUAACUCCGUGCCAGCAGCCGCGGUAAUUC